AUUGAACGCUGGCGGCAUGCCUAACACAUGCAAGUCGAACGGAGGUAGGGGCAACUCUACUUCAGUGGCGGACGGGUGAGGAAUGCGUCGGAAUCUACCCUAUGGUGGGGGAUAACACAGGGAAACUUGUGCUAAUACCGCAUAAUGUCGAGAGACCAAAGCAGGGGACCGCAAGGCCUUGCGCGAUAGGAUGAGCCGAGCCCGAUUAGCUAGUUGGUAGGGUAAAGGCCUACCAAGGCGACGAUCGGUAGCUGGUCUGAGAGGAUGAUCAGCCACACUGGGACUGAGACACGGCCCAGACUCCUACGGGAGGCAGCAGUGGGGAAUAUUGGACAAUGGGCGCAAGCCUGAUCCAGCAAUGCCGCGUGAGGG
rnacentral:rRNA from 1 species